AGCCGCGGUAAUUCCAGCUCCAUUGGCGUAUAUUAAAGUUGUUGCGGUUAAAAAGCUCGUAGUUGGAUCUGUGUAUCGGACGGUCGGUUCGCCGCUCGCGGUGUUUAACUGACCGGUCCGGACGUCCUGCCGGUGGGCGUUCCCGGUUCAGGCCGGGGCGCCCGUAACUUCCCUCCGCGCUGCUCUUCACUGAGUGGUUCGGUGGGCCGGCACGUUUACUUUGAACAAAUUUGAGUGCUCAAAGCAGGCCUUAUGUUGCCUGAAAACUGUGUGCAUGGAAUAAUGGAAUAGGGCCUUGGUUCUAUUUUGUUGGCUUUUCUGAACUCGAGGUAAUGAUUAAUAGGGACAGACGGGGGCAUUCGUAUUGCGACGUUAGAGGUGAAAUUCUUGGAUCGUCGCAAGACGGACCGAUGCGAAAGCGUUUGCCAAGAAUGUUUUCGCUAAUCAAGAACGAAAGUUAGAGGUUCGAAGGCGAUCAGAUACCGCCCUAGUUCUAACCAUAAACGAUGCCAGCCAGCGAUGCGCCGAAGUUCCUCCGAUGACUCGGCGCGCAGCUUCCGGGAAACCAAAGCUUUUGGGUUCCGGGGGAA
rnacentral:rRNA from 1 species